rnacentral:sRNA from 1 species
UCUUCCUCUGAACUAAACUCGCCUCUUUUGAUCUCAGG